GUAUUACUAGAUGGUCACACAACAGACUAUUUGUUUCUUGGAAAUUUCAUUUAUACAUAUGUGAUAGUUACUGUUUGUCUGAAAGCUGGUUUGGAGACAAUGUCUUGGAAUAAAUUUAGUCAUAUAGCAAUUUGGGGAAGCAUAAUAAUAUGGCUGGCAUUUUUUGCAAUUUACUGUUUCAUUUGGCCCACCAUUCCUCUUGCUUCCGAUAUGACAUGACAGGUUAGUUUUACUG